rnacentral:lncRNA from 12 species
CUCGUUUCUCCCUGCAACUACCUGAAAGGAGGUUGUGGUGAGGUUGAGGUCGGGUGGCUCACUUCUGCCAAGUGACAGGACAUGAGGAAAUGGCCUCAGAUCUGCACUCUGCCCAGCAGAGCACAUGUGGGCAGCCUGUGGAGACGGCUCAGACCAAGUUUGAGAUGUUCUCCCUCAGUGGCACGUUUGGCACCAGCUACGUCUUCCCAGAAGUGUUGUACAGCGGGGUGCAGCUGGCCCCCGGGGAGUUCGAGGUGCUAAGUGACGGACGUCUGACAAGUCAGAAUACUACGUCAAAGCCAGUUUUGAGUGUAACACUCUUUGGGAGGUGGUAUGAGAAGGACCCUCCACAGACACAUCAAGCUUCAGCAUGA